GGCUCAGUGGUCCAAUGGUAAAGCGCUCGUUGCGAAACCAGAGGGUUUUGGGUUCAAUUCCCAACAGGAUCG
rnacentral:tRNA from 1 species